rnacentral:rRNA from 1 species
UCCGUAGGCGGGUAAUUAAGUCAGAGGUGAAAUCCCACAGCUCAACUGUGGAACUGCCUUUGAUACUGGUUGUCUUGAGUUAUAGUGAAGUAGAUAGAAUAUGUAGUGUAGCGGUGAAAUGCAUAGAUAUUACAUAGAAUACCGAUUGCGAAGGCAGUCUGCUAACUAUAUACUGACGCUGAUGGACGAAAGCGUGGGGAGCGAACAGGAUUAGAUACCCUGGUAGUCC